rnacentral:rRNA from 1 species
UACGUAGGGACCGAGCGUUGUCCGGAUUCAUUGGGCGUAAAGAGCUCGUAGGCGGCUGUUCAAGUCGAACGUGAAAACUCGGGGCUCAACUCCGAGCCUGCGUUCGAUACUGGACUGGCUAGAGUCUGGUAGGGGGAGCUGGAAUUCCUGGGUGUAGCGGGUGGAAUGCGCAGAUAUCAGGAGGAACACCAAUGCGAAGGCAGCUCGCUGGGACGUUACUGACGCUGAGACGCGAAGCGUGGGGAGCAAACAGG